UACGAAGGGUGCAAGCGUUACUCGGAAUUACUGGGCGUAAAGCGUGCGUAGGUGGUGAGUUAAGUCUGUCGUGAAAGCCCCGGGCUCAACCUGGGAAUGGCGAUGGAUACUGGCUCGCUAGAGUGCGGUAGAGGAGAGUGGAAUUCCCGGUGUAGCAGUGAAAUGCGUAGAGAUCGGGAGGAACAUCAGUUGCGAAGGCGGCCUGCUGGGCUGUUGCUGACGCUGAGGCGCGACAGCGUGGGGAGCAAACAGG
rnacentral:rRNA from 1 species